rnacentral:rRNA from 1 species
UCGAACGAGCGAGAGAGAGCUUGCUUUCUCGAGCGAGUGGCGAACGGGUGAGUAACGCGUGAGGAACCUGCCUCAAAGAGGGGGACAACAGUUGGAAACGACUGCUAAUACCGCAUAAGCCCACGACCCGGCAUCGGGUUGAGGGAAAAGGAGCAAUCCGCUUUGAGAUGGCCUCGCGUCCGAUUAGCUAGUUGGUGAGGUAACGGCCCACCAAGGCGACGAUCGGUAGCCGGACUGAGAGGUUGAACGGCCACAUUGGGACUGAGACACGGCCCAGACUCCUACGGGAGGCAGCAGUGGGGAAUAUUGCACAAUGGGGGAAACCCUGAUGCAGCGACGCCGCGUGGAGGAAGAAGGUCUUCGGAUUGUAAACUCCUGUUGUUGAGGAAGAUAAUGACGGUACUCAACAAGGAAGUGACGGCUAACUACGUGCCAGCAGCCGCGGUAAAACGUAGGUCACAAGCGUUGUCCGGAAUUACUGGGUGUAAAGGGAGCGCAGGCGGGAAGGCAAGUUGGAAGUGAAAUCCAUGGGCUCAACCCAUGAACUGCUUUCAAAACUGUUUUUCUUGAGUAGUGCAGAGGUAGGCGGAAUUCCCGGUGUAGCGGUGGAAUGCGUAGAUAUCGGGAGGAACACCAGUGGCGAAGGCGGCCUACUGGGCACCAACUGACGCUGAGGCUC